CUACCGUUAGCUCAGUUGGUAGAGCAAAGGAUUGUAGUUAUUACCAAUUCAGUAUUCCUUAGGUCACCGGUUCGAACCCGGUACAGUAGA
rnacentral:tRNA from 1 species